CCCCUCCCCUCCCUUCCUUCUUCAAUGUCCUCCCCACAACGCAACCCCCCCACCGCCCGAUUCCGCCCUCCCUUUUCUCCGCUUCCCUCUUGGCAGAGGUGCCAAAGUGGGCAGGCAGACCGAGGCAAUCGCAUCACGGGGCAGAGCAGAGGGCGAACCAAAAGCUGGCGAAUUGAUCAUGUGUGUGUUUGUGUUUUGGUCUGUCCUCGCUCUCUUUCUGUAUGUGUCUGUUCCCAAGUUAGACUCUGCUGUGGUGACACGCAGCUGCAAGUAAGGGCUGUGUGAGAGCAGACGUCCCUCUGUUACUCUCUGUACGGACGGACAUACUCACGCCAGUAGGAGGGGAUUGUGGGAAAAGGGGUGUAGCUCUCAGAGGGUGCGCUCUACUCCUCUCGCUUCCCUUCUUCCCGCCAUCACGGCCCUCUUUUCAGCCAGUCGUCCGGCCCAGCCAGCCCGUCCGCCCGCCCGCCUCACCACAUACAGGCCUCAGGAAAGUGACAUUUAUGGAUCUUUGGUGUGGAUGCAGCAUAGAUUGUGUCCUUGGGGCUGAGGUAGUAGAUUGAAUAGUUGUGGGGUUUUUGAACCUCUUUUUCAGAUAACUAUACAAUCUACUGUCUUUCCCAAGGAGACAGCUGAGCCAACCAGUCAUCAACUAUCGUCUAAAGAUGGAGAAUACAGUUGCCUUGUCAAAAUGCAUGCAGUAAUUGAUAUAUAU